rnacentral:rRNA from 1 species
GACGAACGCUGGCGGCGUGCUUAACACAUGCAAGUCGAACGGAAAGGCCCUGCUUUUGUUGGGUGCUCGAGUGGCGAACGGGUGAGUAACACGUGAGUAACCUGCCCUUGACUUUGGGAUAACUUCAGGAAACUUGGGCUAAUACCGGAUAGGAGCUCCUGCUGCAUGGUGGGGGUUGGAAAGUUUCGGCGGUUGGGGAUGGACUCGCGGCUUAUCAGCUUGUUGGUGGGGUAGUGGCUUACCAAGGCUUUGACGGGUAGCCGGCCUGAGAGGGUGACCGGCCACAUUGGGACUGAGAUACGGCCCAGACUCCUACGGGAGGCAGCAGUGGGGAAUAUUGCACAAUGGGCGGAAGCCUGAUGCAGCAACGCCGCGUGCGGGAUGACGGCCUUCGGGUUGUAAACCGCUUUCGCCUGUGACGAAGCGUGAGUGACGGUAAUGGGUAAAGAAGCACCGGCUAACUACGUG